rnacentral:rRNA from 1 species
AGCGUAGACGGUUUUGCAAGUCUGAAGUGAAAGCCCGGGGCUUAACCCCGGGACUGCUUUGGAAACUGUAGGACUAGAGUGCAGGAGAGGUAAGUGGAAUUCCUAGUGUAGCGGUGAAAUGCGUAGAUAUUAGGAGGAACACCAGUGGCGAAGGCGGCUUACUGGACUGUAACUGACACUGAGGCUCGAAAGCGUGGGGAGCAAACA